UACGUAGGGUGCGAGCGUUGUCCGGAAUUACUGGGCGUAAAGAGCUCGUAGGUGGUUUGUCGCGUCGUCUGUGAAAUUCCGGGGCUUAACCUCGGGCGUGCAGGCGAUACGGGCAAUACUUGAGUGCUGUAGGGGAGACUGGAAUUCCUGGUGUAGCGGUGAAAUGCGCAGAUAUCAGGAGGAACACCGAUGGCGAAGGCAGGUCUCUGGGCAGUAACUGACGCUGAGGCGCGAAAGCCAGGGGAGCAAACGGGAUUAGAUACCCGGGUAGU
rnacentral:rRNA from 1 species